GGCAGCACUGUCCCCUCCCAGGAAUCUUAUUCUCUCUUCCAGGUGACCCCCCCCCCCCAUGGUUGGAGACUGAGUGGUGAGCUGGGAGAGAAAGAAGCUGCCUUUCCUCAGGGAGGGGUAGUUUCCCAGAGUGGCUUGCUGAGACUCACAGAGAAGUGACCACAGCCCUGCAGGAAUCUUCAAGCUGGACCUAGCUCAAGCUGUGUGCAAACACCAGCAAGCCGAGUGAUUGCUCUGAGACCCAGUUCACUGACAACCUGUGUUUGAUACUGAGACGUGACAAUAACUACAGAGACCAGAAAUGCAGAAAGGACAUUCCUGCCCUGUCCUGGAUUCCACUUGUCAAAACCUGCAGGUGCUCCCAGACGACAAGGUGACGCAGCUUUGUUUUGGGGGGCACCUGUUUGGAGCAGACAGUGCUGUUCUCCCAUUGAGCUCCUGCACCCUUCCCCCGACCCGCCCAGGCUUAUCAGGAAGUGUGAGAGUGGGCUGGGCUGUUAGCUCCAAUUCUCUGUCUGCAGACCCGGGGACCAGAGCUUCCUGUCUUCCCUCCUGUCACUGCUUAUCUGGGCAGCUCUGAGCAGUCCCAGGCACCUAGCAAACUGGUCCCUGGCGGUUUCCUUUGAGGUCGUCUUCAAGCAGUGCCUCAAAGACGUGUGUUGUAGUCUAGGGCCAGCGGAGGCCUUGCUGAUCAGAAGCAUUCCUCCUCUGCCUAAGGCAGGUCCGGGGAGGUCUGCUCUGGGGAACCAUCCAGGAGUCUGGGUCCUGGCCCUGGUGAUGAGAACAGGUGGUGGGAGCAUUACACCGUGGGAGCAGAGGGAAAGAUGGGAAAGAGAAGUGAGCGGAGGUUGGAUUCCUGGGGCCCAGCCCUGAAAUCCUUAACCUUUAACUUGAACAGAGUUACAUAUCCAAGAAUCCAAGCCUCAAAAAUCUAACAUGCUCUGUCCACCCUGGUCAAGCCAUGAGCUCCUUGAAGACAGCAGGCGAGUUAUGAGCUCAGUUGGAGACACCAGAUAAGAAAGAGGAGAACCCACUUAAACGGUUGUGAAAGCCAUUGAGUAGGAGGCUCAAGCUCAGUCAACACACACACCCUUCUAAGAUCAAGGUGGAGGAAUCUCGCUCAGCUCCUUCUCCAGCACCAUGAUUGCCUGCACUCUGCCUUGCUUCCGGCCAUGACAAUGGACUGAACCUCUGAACUGAGGUGGAGACAACUUUUCAGAUGGGUGUGCUGCACCGUGUAUCUGAAGACAGUGAGGAAGUGGCUAUGAAGAGCUAGCAUGGAUCCUGCUCUUUAGAGACCCUGAAGUUCAUAUGCAAAAGUUCCCCGUGUUGAAUCGCAAUUGCCUUUACCUUGAGGACUUCAUAUAUAGAUGAUUGACAGUUCCUGCUAGUCCACCUCUGGACACAUCACGGCAUACUCCUCCAAGCAGCUUUGGCUAGGUAGGUUUUGACUUGUCUAGCCUAAAUUCUCUUUGGUCUAGCCUAAAUUCUCUUAGAACUGUUAUCUGGUGAGUGACUAAUCUUUAAAAUGUUUUCUUUGCACACAUUCAGUAUACAAGGUGAUAGCUUCAUAGUGAAAUUUCAUUGAAUGAACCAGAUUCUUUGAUCAUAUUCUUCUCUCAUUACCCUCCUUUGUUUUCCUUAUUCCUAGUUUCUUCUGUUCAAAUACUAUUUUGGCCAUUUGUAUCCAACAGAUAGGAAAACUGUUGUACUUGGAAAGGUCUGCUUGCCUCUUACUCCAUGUCUCAUGGCUCUUGCAGCUGUUUUCCCUCACCAGAUCUCUCGCUCACCUUGAUCUUUGUCCUGGUGUCUGCUUCUGAGAAGACCUGAACCGCUUUAGUGAGCAUUCCUUUAGGAACAACAACAAAACCCCUGGAGAAACACAAAUUUGGGGCCACCAAGGAUUAUGUAUCUGUACAUUGACCUGUGUAGUCAUUUAGCAUUUUAAAAGUAGAUCCGGGGAUCCGACUUAGGACUCUUCCCAUGCUAUGUAAGUGCUCUGUUGCUUCACUAGAUCCUCUGCCCAUUUUAAAAGUCGAUACAAUGUGUAUAAAAUGAAGUGGACUCAUAAACAGCACACAGGAUUUUGUAAACUGAGAACUCAGAAGCAACAGCUUAUUACCCACUCCUCAGAAACCCUUCCUUGGCACCCCUACACUCAUUUUCUACUUCUCCAAAGCUAAACAUCUUCUGUCUUUAAAAAGUUAAUUUUUUUUAUUUACCUGUUUUGUGUACAUGUGCACCACAGCACACAUGUGGACUCUCUACUUCUGCUAUGUACUUUUUGGAAUUAAAUUUAAGUCAUCAGGCUUGGAGGCAGGUUCAUGAACCUACUAAGCCAUCUUGCUGGCCUACCUUCUGCCUUUGACUAUCUUAAAUUAGUUUUGGUUAUACUUGAAAAAACAAAUCACAAGCUUCAGUAUGUUUCACAACCAUGCGAUAUGUAUUCUUUACUACUGGCUUCCUUUUCUCAAUAUUAUGUGUGUGAAAUUAACCCAUAUCUAUUUGUGAUCACUGCUGUAUAAUAUUCUAUCUCCUGACUAAGUAAUAAUUUAUUCAUUCAUUUUAUUAUAACUUUAAUGUCCAGUUUCUAUCUGUUAAAAACAGUGCUGAAACUCCCACACCUACAUCUCAGGGAACAUUGGGGGAAGAGAGAGUGGAAAGAUGAUAAGAGUCAGAGGAUCAGGGAGUUUGCUCUGAGACUGUGUCUCCUAGUAAUGUCAAAAGCCACACCCAUUAAUGUCUCACUAACAUGACUGCCCAACAUGAGUCAAAGAAGGAGACUGACCCUUCCCAGGGUCUAGCUUUUACAGAACUAGAAGAUGUUAUGCAAGCUUCCAAAAAGAAAAGCAAUGAAAAGCCCUUCCCAGCUAUGAUGCCUAUGAACCACAAGAAUGACCAGAUGGGCAACAUAUCCGUAAAGGUGUAAUAGUGGUGCUUAUAUGUGGGUGGUAACCAAGAGCUGUCUAAUUGAACCUAAGGCCUGCUCAACAGAAAUGCAGUCAUGCCUGGUACUAUAAGCCUAGCUAACGGCUGGUGAGGUUAUGGAUGUUAGCUGAGAACUGACUACUGCCAUUUCCCUAAAUCAGUACGAUUCCUAACUGCAUUCUAAAUAAUUAUCCUUAUACUAACAAACAAGUGUAGUUUCCACUCCUUAUAAAAGAAAUUUCUUUUUCUCAGCAGACGGAGACCAUUACAGAAAGCCACGCCUGCUUAAAAUACAGAGAAUAACUGACCAUGUGGUCCUACCCCCAACAAGUACAUCAAUAAUACAACUCCUACACCUAAAGCUCAGAAGCAUCUUGAAAGGGAUAGUCGAAAGAUUGUAAGAUCCAGAGGAUCAGAAAGUGUGCUGUGAGAUUGUGUCUUUUAGAUAUGAUAGGGGAGCGACACCCAUGAAAUUUCAACAACAUGUCUGCCAAAAUAAGACUGGAACAAUUCCAAAAAUAGCUGGUACCCCAGUGUAGAUGGGGGAAUCUCUUGGGGCUCAACCCUAUCUGAAGGUCUACAAGCAAUUAAUGACAGCUGAGGGAGGGAGAAUUAGUCUUCCCCAGCGAUGAGGCCCCUAAUUGAUUAUUCAGUAUCAUAAUUCAGCUUUAAAUACCACACACACACACACACACACACCCCAAUAAUUAUUAAAUAAAAAGAGGCCAUGACUUUGUGAGAGAACAGGGGCAAUGGUAAAGGAAGGAGAGAAUGAUCUAAUUAUAUCCUUGCUAAAAGUAAAAUGGAAAGUCAAAAAAGAAUUUGACAUAAAAUUUUGAGAGAACCAAUUAUAUUUUUGAUUUCAUUGUUGUUGAUAAAUUCAAUGUCAUGUUUGUAAUGGUUUAAGUAAAAUACUGCAGGUCUCCAAGUGGUGGCAGUGGGCAGUGGGCUAUGAGACCACUCUGCAGGUCCCCAAGUAGCAGCAGGCAGUGGGGAGUAGGUCCUGAAACCACGGCAGGCCACAAAGGCAGCCAGGUCCCAGGCAGGAAGCCACGUGGUGGGUGAGAAAAAUCCAAGGGAUCCUGGGCCCCCAGUCAAAUGCACCAUACAGGGUGUGCAGUGCUAGCGUGGGAGGACUGACCCUGGGUUGUCUGGUCAUGUUUUCAGGUAAGGGAAGCAAUCCAGAGAUGAAUGUCAAUGAAGGGCUCAACCGUAGCCGUUAAAGCCAUGGUUAGGGGUUGUCCCUCCAUUUCUAGAAACGCCAGAAGAUUUCCAGGAGCUCAACAGUCAAUUCCUCAGGUUCAGAGAAACUGUUAAGCUGACCAGAAUGAGGAAACUCACCAAAUGAAAGCGGUGGUGUAUGUAGACGGCACACUCAGGCAGAUGGAAAGGAGAGCUGUUGUAAAAAAACCUGGUUCUCGAGCCCAGGGUUCCACACAUCCUCAGCCAGCCUGCCCAUGGGCUAGAGGGAAUGUGGAGAGCCUGGCCAAAUCACGGAGCACCAGUCUGAGUCAUAGCACCAUUGUAAUGGUUUAAGUAAAAUACUGCAGGGCUGAGUGGCUGGAGUGGGCGGUGAGUCUCCAAAGUGGCAACAAGCAGCAGGCAGUGGGUCCCAAGAGCAGCCAGUCCCAGGUAGGGAUGGCACAGUUCCCCGAGUGGCUGCAUUGGGCCAUGAGUCCCAGGCAGGGAACCGUGUGUUAGGUGAGAGAUCUCGAUGAGAUAGCCAGUCCCACAAGGAAAGACAGACAGAAGACAUGCCACGAGACCAUGCUGCACAGGUCUCUGAAAGUGGCUGAUCUUGGCAGGUAGCUAUGUGGUGGGUGAGAGACUGAGACAUGGAGAGGCAUGCUAUGCAGAGUGAGGUUGGAUAUUUAUUUAGUGGGUUAUGGAGAGGAAAGGGGAGAAGGGGAGAAAAGCAGAGAGAGAGAGAGGCAGAGAGAGAGAGAGAGAAAGAGAGAGAGAGAGAGAGAGAGAGAGAGAGAGAGAGAGAGAGAGAGAGAGAAAAGGAAAGAGCUCAGGCUGGAACCUGAAGAUCAGCUUGCCUCGACAACAGGGGGUGGGGUGGAGAGAGAGGGCAUGACUUGUCACUUAAAGGGACAGGACAGACCAUUACAAUGUUGAUUCUAAUUUUUCACAUAUACCAUUUCUCCAUCUCUGAAAAUUAUUUGUCCUCCACCUGAACUGAGCUCAUGGGGACUUAUGAACUCUAGACUGACAGCUGGGGAGCCUGCAUGGGACAGAAAAAGGCCCUCUUUAUGUGGGAAACAGCUGUGUAGCCUGGACUGUUCGAGGGGCCUCUGGCAGUGGGACCAGAAUCUAUGCCUGAUGCAUGAGCUGGCUUUUUGGAGCCCAUUUCCUAUGGUGGGGUGUUUUGCUCAGCCUUGAUGCAGGGGGAAGGAGGUUGGCCCUGCCUCAAAUUAGUGCACAAAGCUUUCCUGACUCCCCAUGGGAGGCCUUACCCUUUCAGAGGAGUGGAUGGGGGAUGGGUUGGUAGAGAAGUGGGGGGAGUGGGAGGAGGGGAGGUAUGUAAAAUUGUGGAGGCCCAAAAUUAUGAGCCUGUUUCCCCAUUGACCAAAAGUCAGAGAGUUGGAACUUGUUUCUAGUUCCUUCAAGGUUAUUGUGCUUCAACCUCAAAACAAAGAUCUCACCUAGUUGUAAAUCAGAGGGUUCUGCUCUCUUGGGGUUAUUGUCAACAGGUGUGACUAAUAGUCAGACCUGUGCUCCAGGAAUAGAAAAGUAGAUCUGUUCUUACCUCAAACAAAAUCUAAGGAUCCAACUAAGCUUCAGUUCCCUUUAUGGAGAUAACUUGAGAUUCCACCCAGGGAGUGGUUUGCCUACAGACUGUUUUGGUCUAGGGUGUGAUGUGACUUGGUGGCUUGUUUUGUUCUAGAAACAGAAUGUUUAACUAUGAAUGUAGCCCGCAACUUUCAAUUGGUAUGCUCAUUUCCUUGUAUCAUAUUAAAGUUGUCUUUUGUCUUACUCCUACCUUUUGGGGUCUGGGGUAUUUUAAGCAGUUGGAAAUUAAAUGAGGGUGAAUUUUCAGUGCUCACUGGAAUUCCCUCCUGAUACUAUCCUAUAUAUUUCUCUGUUUUAUUAUUUUCACUUGCACCUAAAUUACCAUGCCUCUACUCUGGAGAAAGGUAUUUUUGUCAAGGCUGGUCCCUGACAUAAACUGAAUAAAAAAUGUAAAAUAAAAAAAGAAAAUUAUAUGUCCUCAAAGUUCUGAAAGUUUGGGGUGAUACAUCUUGGUAUGGGUCUACUUUCUUAUAUUAUUCUGGAUACUUAGAUGCCCUUUAUCCUGGAAAAUUGUUCCUGUGUUCCUGGGAGGGUUUCCUUGAUAUUUUUCUUUCCUGUACCCUAUUUUCUUGGCAUGGCCAUUCUGAAUGUAGGUGUCCUCAACUUUCUGAUGAUUUUCAAGACUUUCUAUGUGUUGCACACCUACCCCCACACUCCAGAUUCUCUAUGGACUCCAGAUGCCCAUUUGAUACCUCAACUUACAUGCUAAGUGUAAGCUCUCCACAUCUGCUCUGCUGUCUCAGCCCAAACCACAGGGAACUGCAUCCACAAAUGGCAGCUUAUAGCCUUCCACUGGUCAUACCAGAGAUAUGGGAUCCAUAUUUCUCAGUCUAAUUGCUGCCUGGUCUUCUGCGAGUUAAUCAGCUCCCCUCACUACCCUCUCCUUCACAAGCCAUGCACCAGGCACACCAUGUUUCUAUCACAUAAAGAAAGUCUUAGGGCCUUCCCACUGCUGUUCCUUCAGCCUAAAAUAUGCCUAAAUGUUUUCAUUUAAAGGGAGAUAAGAUAUAGAGAUAAAUACUUUGCAUUGUUAUGGAUCUUGGUUUAUUGAUACAUAUUUAAGGUUUAUUUUGUUAUACAGUGUAUAUGUAUUUCUGCUCUUGUUUAAGGUAUUAUGUUUGUGCAGCUCAUUUAAAAAUGUAUAAUUAAAAAUUAUGAAUUAAUAUAUAAUCAUUUAUAAUAGUCAAACUUGUAGUCAUGUUAGUUAUGUUUUCUAAUAUACAGAGAUAUAUUUCAGAUGGAUAGGUAUUCUUCAACCCUUUCAGAGACAUACAGAAUAUGGCAUUUAAAAUGUCUUAAGAACAUAGACUUUUCUUGAUAGUGAGACAUGUCUGCUUCUGGUAGCACCAAUUACUUCAAGAGGAAGACAGGCAUCUAAGAAUCUUCUUAUUGAGACUUAUGGGCUAGAAACUGCUCUUGCCUGGGCUUCUUGAUGGUAUGCUGUAUGAACUUGACAUGCAAGACCCAUAGAAAAUGGCUGCUGAACUUGCCUACUUCAGGGUUCCUGCUCCACCAAAGAAAAUGCCAGUCAUUCUGAAGGACACAGAAGAAAGUAACUGAUAAACUGCCAAUGUAGGCAGAACAAAUCUUCAAAUUUCCUGCUUCAUGGAAUAGUCUGCUGGAUGCUAUGGUCCUGUAGGUUGAAGAUGGAUGCCUCAAUGUUACAGAAGAACCACAGUUUGAAUUGGUUUUUCCUAAUGUUAAGACAAUGGGUUUCUUUGACCGCUCCUCAGAAUUUGUGAGCAUGAUCAGACUCCCAGUGGUCAGUCCCUUAAAGAAAACUGAGUCCUUCCUCAUACCAACCCCUGCCAGAAGGCAUCACCUGUGAAGAGCUAUACUUCAGCAUCUUUAUCACAGGUUUUAAAGACUCUCUUAGAUGUCUUUCUGUCUGGACCCUUCCUUCCUUCCUUCCUUUUUUUUUUAAAUGCGGUUUUGGGGUGAGCAUGGAGGUCUUCAAUGCCUCUCAUUCUCAAUUAUAAGUCUGCAGUCAUCAAUACCAUUGCAAAGGAAGCUUCCUUGCUUAUAGCAGUUGGCAGUAGCACAGACGGACUUCAACAUGGUUUCCAUUGGCAGUUUGGAUAUGGGACAUACCCCGGUCCUUAGUAACAGCAUGGAUCAUGGACAUCACCAUGGCCUGUGACCACAUAGCCUCCCAUAGACACCAGCAUGGCCUCUGGGAGCAGCAUUUAUCAAUGACAUCAGCCUAGCCUCCUGGAGCAACACAAACCAUGGAUGUCAGCACUGCAUUUGGUGGCAGCACAGACCAAAGAAGGCCUUUCAGGAGUUGUCAUUCCAGAGAUACAUUAUUGUUGCUCUGAGUCAAUGAGGUUGGACAACAUGGGGCAGGGGCAGCAGGACCCUCUUGAGCUCCAGGCUGCUGCACACCACCCUGCCCUUGGCACUGGCCACCUACUGGCUCCUUUGUCCCCACAGUAGUGCUCGCAUGCCACAGUAGCUCCACUCCUUUCUGCCACCCCCUGCCCUCGCCCCCAGUGUCAUGAAACCACUUUUUAAAAGCAUCUUCCCAUAUAUUAUUUUAUCAAACAUUUGUUAAUAACAUUAAAUCAGCCACUAUAGAAGAAAAAUAAAAUAGCAAGGGAAAAAAUAACAACCAUAUCUGUAAGCAGAAACUUUGUAAAUAAAGCAACAAUUUUUGAAAAAAAAAAAAGCAUCUUCCCAUAAGUUCUUCCAUUUUAAAAAUCACCCUCCACCAUGAUAUCUCCCCACACAGCCUCUGUUUGUCUCUCAGACUCCUUGUAAUGCCCCAGAACCCAAGGCCCUGAGGGCACUGGCAGGGGCUGUCUUGAAUCUACUUCUCCAAAUUAAGGUGCCUUUAAAGGCAGCUCAAAUGGGAUAAAAUUGAACACCUGUGAAAGUGUGCUCAGUGCUGGAGCUUGAACACUUUAAUUCCCAAGAUUCUCUGUCGAGAUGCAUUUUACCUUGAACCUCAGUUUUAAUUGAUUUUUCCUAAUGUUAAGACAAUGGGUUUCUUCGACCGCUCCUCAGAAUUUGUGAGCAUCAUGCGUUAAGAUCUCGGAUGUUACUUAGCGUCUCUGGGGUUGUGGACUACAGGCUCAUUGUCCUUUGCUUUACAGCUAGUAUCCACUUCUGAGUGAGUACAUGGCAUGCUCAUCUUUCUGGGUCUGGGUUACCUCAUUCAGGAAGGGUUUUUUUUUCCUAGUUCCAUUCAUUUGUAUUCAAAUUUCAAGAUGUCUUUGUUUUUUUACUGCUGAGUAGUACUCCAUUGUGUAAAUGUACUACAUUUUCUUUAUCCAUUUUUCAGUUGAGGGACAUCUAGGUUGUUUCCAGGUUCUGAAUAUCACAAAUAAAUGCUGCUCUGAACAUAGUUGAGCAAAUGUCCUUGUAAUAUGAUUGAGCAUCCUUUGGGAUACCCAAGAGUGGUAUUGCUGAGUCCUGAGAUAGGUUGAUUCCCAAUUUCUGAGACACUGCCAUAGUGAUUUCCAGAGUGGUUGUACAAGUUUGCAUUCCCACCAACAAUGGAUGAGUGUUCCCCUUACUCCACAUCUUCUCCAGUAUAAACUAUCACUAGCUAGUCUGACUCAUGAAAGAUGGUAUCUCAGUAAUUUUGAUUUGCAUUUCCCUGAUGGCUAAGGAUGUUAAACAUUUCCUAAGUGUCUAUAGUCUACAACCCUAGAGAAGCUAAGUAACAAGGUGAACCCUAUGAGAAACAUAUAUAGAUUCCCCUGGGAAGGGGAAAUAGACAAGAUUGCCUCACAAAAUUGGGAGCAUGGGGGUGAGGGAAGAAGGGAGGGCAGAAGAGGAGGAGAAGGUGGAUGGGGAGGGGAGAGGAGAACUUGAGGAAAUGGGAUAGUCGAGAUGGAGGAAGGACAGAGAUAAGAGCAAGGAAAGAGAUAUCUUGAUUGAGGGAGCCAUUAUGGGGUUAGCGAGAAACCUGGCUUUAGAGAAGUUCCCAGGAAUCCACAAGGAUGACCCCAGCGAAGACCCUAAACAAUAGUGGAGAGGGUGCCCAAAUCAGAUUGAUGACUAUCUUAAAUGUCACCGUAGAACCUUCAUCUAGCAACUGAUGGAGGCAGGGGCAGAGACCCGCAGUGGAGCACUGGGCUGAGCUCCCAAAGUCCAGUUGAAGAGUUAAAGGAAUGAGAAUAUGAGCAAAGAGGUCAAGACCAUGAUGGGGACACUCACUGAAACAGCUUACUUGAGCUAAUGGGAGCUCACAAACUUUGGCCAGACAGGGAAGGAACUAGCUAGCAUAGGACCAAGCUAGACCCUCUGAAUGUGGGUGACAUUUGUAUCGCUGAAGCAGGCUGCAGGGUCACUGGCAGUGGCACCAGGAUUUGUCCCUGCUUCUUGUACUUUGGCUUUUGGGAACCCAUUCUUUUU